rnacentral:siRNA from 1 species
CUGUUCAAAGGCCCAACAAGAUGC